CUCCGGCUGGCACUUCUUUUGCGCUCGGUUUCGCUCGCGCCUCUCUUUCUGCUCUGGCCUCACGCAAGGGGGAGACUUAGAGUGGGAGAAAAAGAGAGGGAGGGGGAGCGGGCGAGGGGGGCAGUCUGCUGCUAUUUCUACAGUCCGGGCCUCCCCGCCGUCGCUCUCCCGCCCGCCCUUCCAUAGACUGAGUUUUUUUCCCCCCCUCCGCUCACCGCUCGCUUGGAUUUUAACCCUCUGCCUCCAACUUGCAGCUCUUGCAAAAAAAAAAAAAAAAAAAUGCUGGCAACAAGUUGCUCCUCCACGAGGCCUUUUUCGGCCACUUUUUUUGCCGCAAAUAUUUUUCCUCGUCGAUUCCCGCGCUUUUGGAUCUGGCCGCUUUCAAGUAUGCAUUUUUCCACAUUUUAUUUGCGGCAAAAAUGUGAUUAUUUUUGUAGAGUUUGUCGAUGUUUUGUUGAGGAUUCGGAUCGGAAACGGAGGUUUCUCACCGCCGCCAUUGCGAGCUGGACCGACCGAAGAGGGGAUACGACCCGCACGCCGUCCCGAUGACUACGCCAACGGCCGUGCGUGGGCCGGCCGAUUUUCGACAAGAUCUAGCGGGGUUUCUUUUUUUUUUGCCCUCCUCUGCCUCCUGCGCGCUGCCGUCCUUCGGCUUCAUUCCGUCCUCCUUUCGGCGCCGCACAACUCCCGACAUGCAGGCGGACGAGCGGCUUUGGGCUGAGCCGAGCCGCCGGAGCGAGCGCUUUUCUGGGACGGCUGCCAAAUGCAAACAAAAGAGGCCAAAAAAAGCGAGGAGGGAUAGAAAACGCCCAACUUGAACUCGUUGGGGGGGGUGCUCGGCUGCAGCAGCUGGAGGAGGCGGCCAGGCCGGGCCCGGAGCUGAGAUUGCAGCGAGACGGGCGUCGGACGCAGCUCCGGCCGAAAGCGUCGUCGAGAUCGGCCGCCUGGCGGGGACGGGCGAUUGCGUCUGAACGUCAUCAAGAGGCCGAAAGCUGCGAAGACACGGACUGACGCACUUUCUGCGGUGGAGCUGCUGUUAAGGCUGCACUAACAUUCCGCCAUGUUUCCGAAGAGGCGAGAAACACAUUGAAAAGCUUCCAAGUGAAAAGUUCAAUUUUGAACUAUAUCUUGAAUAAAUGUCAUUUGCAUUCAUUUAUCAA